GCCUUCCUAUUUAAGCAAUCUGCUAAUAUUGUGAAAUCCAUAUUUUAUGGCUUUUGCAAACAUGCUAGUAGAUUACACCUGGGAAGGAAAGAAAAUGCACUGCGUCGGAAAUGAGGCAAGGGUGGACCUCUUUCUUAAUGUCCAGUACCCUUUGCCCCGAGAUUCUGUGCAACAGUU
ensembl:snoRNA SNORA81 small nucleolar RNA, H/ACA box 81